CCCCGAAGCCGGAACGACGCGCGAUUCCAUCGCUGUCGAUGUGAUGUGGAAGGGCCGCGAGUUUCGCGUGUUCGACACCGCAGGCCUGCGGCGGCGCUCGCGUAUCGAGGACAAGCUGGAAAAGCNAAAAGCUCUCCGUCUCGGACGCGCUGCGUGCGGUGCGUUUCGCGGAAGUCGUCGUGCUGAUGAUGGACGCGCAGAACAAGUUCGAGGAGCAGGACCUGCGGCUCGCCGAUCUGAUCGAGCGCGAAGGCCGCUCUAUCGUGAUCGCGGUCAACAAAUGGG
rnacentral:misc_RNA from 1 species